rnacentral:rRNA from 1 species
GACGAACGCUGGCGGCGUGCUUAACACAUGCAAGUCGAACGGGCCUGUCUUCUUUUUUGGGGGGUGGGUUGAGUGGCGAACGGGUGAGUAUCACGUGAGUAACCUGCCCUUCGGUCCUGGAUAACCGCUUGAAAGGGCGGCUAAUACGGGGUGGUCCGGUUGGUCCGCAUGGGCUGGUCGGGAUAGAUUCACUGUUUUUGGUGUUUCGGCGGGGGAUGGGCUCGCGGCCUAUCAGCUUGUUGGUGGGGUGAUGGCCUACCAAGGCGGUGACGGGUAGCCGGCCUGAGAGGGUGGGCGGCCACACUGGGACUGAGAUACGGCCCAGACUCCUGCGGGAGGCAGCAGUGGGGGGUAUUGCACAAUGGGCGGAAGCCUGAUGCAGCGACGUCGCGUGAGGGAUGGAGGCCUUCGGGUUGUGAACCUCUGUUUCCGGUGGUGAAGGCCCUGUCCGUGUGGUGGGGUUGACGGUAGCCGGGGAUGAAGCGCCGGCUAACAACGUG